GGAGGUCAGCCUGGGUGACAGGGCUUCACGCCGCUCUUGGCUCUCUGAAUUUUAAGAGCAAUAAAGUGAAGCCACAGCAAAUCAAAAGCAGAAAUGAGCAAAGGUUACAAAGGAGUUGGAAGUUGUUUCCCUUGUCAAAGAGGCCUAGAAGAACAGGGCCCUGUUCUCCUGCUCUGGAGAAGCUCUGACAAGAACGGAGACCCUUCAGCUCCGCAGAGGACCCAGGAGGCUGUGGCGAGCUCCUGCUUGAGCAGACAAUAGGUUUUCAUUCAAAGCCAGGACGUCUCCACAUAGAUGACACACUAAAACCAACUGGAAAGCUUAAAGGAAUAUCCCCAGAAUUAAGUAGAAUCUCUGGGGGUUGGGCCCCAACAUGGGUGUUUUGCAAAGCUCCCUGUGAGAAGCCAGAACUGAGAACCCCAGGGUAACUAACCCUGGAUGCACAAUGGAAUCACCUAGAUACCUUCUAUGAUCUCGUCUCCUCUCACCUCUGCUGGGUCCCCAGAGGGUUGAUGUGUGGGGCCUGGGCAGUGGGCUUUCUCCAGCUCCCCACUUACUCUAGGUGUUUGGGGUGAGGCUUGCAGAGAAAGGUAAAAAGUGGGUUGGAAAGGGCCCUCAUGAUUGUAGGAGCUUGAGGCUUUGGAAGCCAGAGGGCAGCCUGAGGGUCCCAGGCCCUGAGAGAGGAGUUGUAGAGAAAGAGACUCCAAAGAGCAGGUGAGAGCCACGGAGGGCACUGGUUCAGGGCAGGGGCCUGGCGGCCGAGGCCUGAGCUCAGAGCUCAGUGUGGGGGCUCGGCAUUGCCUGUCACUUCGGGCAAGCUCAUUAGCCUCUGUAGCCUUGGUAUUCACACGUGGGAGAGGCAAAUAUGAACUACCCUGUACACCGAAAAUUUGAAGAAAAAUUCGGUAAAGCACCGAAAAUUUGCAGAAAGCCUUUUGCACAGCGCCUGCCAGGUGUCAGCUCUCAGCGAAUGGCAGCCUGGCUAUUUAACUAGAGCCACUUGUCAUCCUCUUGUUGAGACCCUGGGAACCACAGCACCUUAGUGGGGUCUUAGGUGACCAUCAGCUCACCCCCUCAGCCCGGGCUGGGGGUCCUCCGUGCUUGAGGUAAUGCUUGUGACUGCAUGUCUGACCUUGCCAGCAUCAGUGCAAGCCUCAAGGCCGCGGUCUGGCUUUGCUGCCCAUAUACGCUGGGGCGUCGGGUGAGCCAGCAGCAUCUGUCGGCACCAGGC
rnacentral:lncRNA from 12 species